GAGACCUAUGCUUACAAUUGCUAACUACCUUUGGGAUAGAGCACUUUGUAAGGACCGCCCUUGAAAAAGGGAGGAAGGCGUAGGCAACGGUAGGUCUGUAUGGUCCGAAUCUUCUGGGCGACACGCGCGCAACAAUGGUAGGUACAAUGGGAUGCAACUCCGAAAGGGGAAGCUAAUCCUCGAAAACCUAUCUUAGUACGGAUUGAGGAUUGUAACUCAUCCUCAUGACGCCGGAAUCUGUAGUAAUCGGAUUUUAUCAUAGUCCGGUGAAUAC
rnacentral:rRNA from 1 species